CAGUUCCCACCUAUGAGUGAGAAUAUGCGGUGUUUGGUUUUUUGUUCUUGCGAUAGUUUACUGAGAAUGAUGAUUUCUAAUUUCAUCCAUGUCCCUACACGAACUUAUUCUAUUUUAAUAGAAUGUUCAGUAUCAGUGUUUUCACACUGAGAUUCUCUAGCUUAUUUUGCCAUAUUUAAAUUAAAAAGAAACAAAAAAUCCUGUUUGAUCAUGUGAAAAAUAUUUACUGAAAUGUGAAUAAAUUUAUGAUCAUUAAUUGCCUACUGAAAUAUUCCUGAAUAUUGCUCACCUUAUUAACAAGUAUAUAUGGAGACUGAAAAACAUGUAGAUCAUGCAAACAAGUGUAACUAACUAUACCAAAGAAACAAAAGUCCAUACUAAAUAUGUCCAUAAUUAAAUAAAAAAUGCUAAACAAGUUUUACCUAGAUAUUAUAAAAACAUAGAAAGGAAAACAUUUAGGAGAUGAUGAAGAAGCAGGAGAUUGGGAUGGGAGAUGUAAUUUGAUCUAAAUUCCCAUAUGCUUCUGUAAAAUCAAAAAUUCAUUUUGCAAUAUUAAUUUUGCUCUUAAGGUAGAGACUUUUAAAAUGACCAUUCUCAAUACUACAGCAAUUCUUCCCUGAUUUGCACAUAAAUGAAUUAAAGUGAAGAAAAAGCAGUAGAGGAGAGAAGACUAAAAUAAACCAGAUUGUAGCACCCUGUAAAGAGCUAAAAUCUCCAGUGUACAAACAACUGAUAGGAAAGAAGAGAAAAUCAGAACUAUAAAAAAGUGACAUAAGCUCAGAAAAUUACUCAUUUUUAAUUGUAUCAACAAAGAUAAUUUGUAAUUUUGAUCAUGCAAGCAUUAUAAUUACUGAUAAUUGGGCCUUUCAGCUUUUAAGUGCCUUCUCAAACAUGAGUUCUGCAUAUGGUUGUGCAGAAAUCAAAAUCUUAAAGAGAGAUGAGUAAAGUCAAGUUUGUAAUAUUAAUCUUAUAUUCUCAAUAUAGAUGCUAAUUAGUGCUCUGAAUGGUUGUGGUUAGAAAUCUUGUUGGUAUGAUGUAUCAGUGAUGUCACUGCAUUGAUGGAGACAGAAUAAUACAUAAUGGUGCAAUGUGGUGAUGGUAAGCUUUGUUACUCAAUAUUGUCAGGCACUUUAAGAAAAUCAGAAACAUUCAGGAUAGUGCCAAAGAAGAUCAGUUUUUCAAGACUCUAAAAUCAUAUUCAAUUAUAUGUGUAUGUAAUUAUAAAUAUGUGCAUCAUGGCUGACUUUGAGAAGAAUGCAGCGCCUUGCAAGUGCACUAUUUGAAUAGAGCUAAGGAGAACUAUAGUCUAAGGACUGCAAAAGUCUAGAUGGAGAAGACAAAAGCAAUGACACUUGUUUUCUCUACAGAACAAAUAGACAAAGAGGUGAAUGACAACAAAGAUGUUCAGAGAAACUUGAAAAAUAAGCUACGGUGUAGGAGACAGAUUCUCACUCUAUUGCCUAGGCUGGACUGCAAGUGGGGCCAUUAUAGCUCACUGAAGCCUCAACUUCCUGGGCUCAAAUGACCCUCUCGUCUCAGCCUCCCGAGUAGCUGGGACUACAGGUGCACAUCACCACAUCCAGUGUUAGAAAUAAAUAACGAAUGAAGAC
rnacentral:lncRNA from 1 species